rfam:Gossypium hirsutum cultivar TM-1 chromosome 5, whole genome shotgun sequence
UAUUAAAAUUUUCAUCCAUUUCUAUUGAUAAAAACUAGCGUGGCUGACAGAAUAACCAGAAAGUUACAUGUGGUGGGCCAUGUAUACCUCAUUCUGACAUACAGGGACCGGUUUUUAAUAGUAGAAUGGAUGAAAUUUUUAAUA